GAUGAACGCUAGCGGCAGGCCUAACACAUGCAAGUCGAGGGAGAAGCCCUUUCGGGGGCAGAAACCGGCGCACGGGUGCGUAACGCGUAUGCAACCUACCUUUCACAGGGGGAUAGCCCGAAGAAAUUUGGAUUAAUACCCCAUAAUAUUAUUGGAUGGCAUCAUUUGAUAAUUAAAACUGCGGUGGUGAAAGAUGGGCAUGCGUCCUAUUAGCUAGUUGGAGUGGUAACGGCACCCCAAGGCUACGAUAGGUAGGGGUCCUGAGAGGGAGAUCCCCCACACUGGUACUGAGACAGGGACCAGACUCCUACGGGAGGCAGCAGUGAGGAAUAUUGGUCAAUGGUCGGAAGACUGAACCAGCCAUGCCGCGUGCAGGAAGAAUGCCUUAUGGGUUGUAAACUGCUUUUAGAAGGGAAGAAUAAGGCGUACGUGUACGUUGAUGACGGUACCAGAUGAAUAAGCAUCGGCUAACUCCGUG
rnacentral:rRNA from 1 species